rnacentral:rRNA from 1 species
UACGAAGGGGGCUAGCGUUGCUCGGAAUCACUGGGCGUAAAGCGUACGUAGGCGGAUUGUUAAGUCAGGGGUGAAAGCCCGAGGCUCAACCUCGGAAUUGCCUUUGAUACUGGCUGUCUUGAGUCCGGGAGAGGUGAGUGGAACUCCUAGUGUAGAGGUGAAAUGCGUAGAGAUCGGGAGGAAUACCAGCAGCGAAGGCGGCAAACUGGAUAGGCACUGACACUCAACUGCGAAAGCGUGGGGAGCAAACAGG